CCCCUGUCACACGGACAACUCCAGUAGCGGACGCGGCACAGCGGGAGGAAGUGCAGGGGCAGCUGCGGCAGUCUGUCACUGCUGCCGGGCUGCCCCUGUCACCCUGGCAGCAGCGGAAGUGGUGUAGGAGCCGGGAGGAGGUUCAGGGGCAGCCGCGGCAGUUCAUCAUUAUUGCCGGGCUGCCCCUGUCACACGGGCACCCCCAGUAGCGGACACGGCAGAGCGGGAGGAAGUGCAGGGGCAGCGGCGGCAGUACUUCACUGCUGCCCGGCUGCCCCUGUCAACCUGGCAGCGGAGGCUUGAUACAUCAAGGGGGAAUCCAUGGGGCACAUCAGGGUUAUGAAGUCAUGCACUUCCCCUAUCUUUGUCAUAAUAAAGGAAUACCUAUCCAGAAAUAGGCUUUAGGUGGCUUUGCAGCAGCGGGCAAGCUACAAUCAUUACUCCCUGGCCAACACUGGCUGUCAUGUCGUUCUAAGAAGCUUGUUCCAGUUCUGAGCUACAGUACCAUUUACUCAUAUAGCCCUGGAGAACGUUCUGGGAAUUGUAUAUACGUGAGCGGAACAAAACGGGGAUAUUGCAGAACCUGUGUCAUGCCAGCCUGAACUAACACUCACUGUAAGCAGCUCUGAUGCAUGGAGGCUGGUGAAAACAUGAAGACAGCACUACUAGGCACAGACAUUCAGAGCUGACAAGACCGCAACCUAGAGCCCCCGAUUCCUCUCAUUUGUACUUUACAUAAAUGUGUUGUAUCUUUUUAGCAUGGACCAAUUCUUGCAAAACAGCCUACUCUUCUCAAGCAAGUGAGGGGUUAACAGAAAUGUGUCCCCUCUGCUAGUAUUGUUAAUA